AUGGCUCAGUGAGGCCUUGGGACUGGCUCAGAGAGGUCGGCAACGACCACUCAGAGCCGGAAACUUGGUCAAACUUGGUCAUUUAGAGGAAGUAAAAGUCGUAACAAGGUUUCCGUAGGUGAACCUGCGGAAGGAUCAUUAACGAGUUAGGGUCUUCCAGGCCCGACCUCCCAACCCAAUGUUUACUACACCGUUUGUUGCUUCGGCGAGCCCGUCUUCACGGACCGCCGGGGGACCGUCAUAGGUCUCCUGGCCCGCGCCCGUCGGUAGCCUCUAAAACUCUUUAACCAAACAUGUUUUGACCUAAGUACCAAUUGUUAAUUAAAAACAAAACUUUCAACAACGGAUCUCUUGGUUCUGGCAUCGAUGAAGAACGCAGCGAAAUGCGAUAAGUAAUGCGAAUUGCAGAAUUCCAGUGAGUCAUCGAAUCUUUGAACGCACAUUGCGCCCUUUGGUAUUCCGAAGGGCAUGCCUGUUCGAGCGUCAUUAUCACCCCUCAAGCCCCUCGGCUUGGUGUUGGACGGUUUGGCGGAGACUCUACGUCUCCGCCCCUCCCAAAGACAAUGACGGCGGCCUCGUUGGACCCCCGGUACACUGAGUUCUUCACGGGACACGUACUGGACACAAGGGUGCGCGGAGCCCGGUCUAACCUCCCUUCGGUGGGAGAACUUUUCUCAAGGUUGACCUCGGAUCAGGUAGGGAUACCCGCUGAACUUAAGCAUAUCAAUAAGCGGAGGAAAAGAAACCAACAGGGAUUGCCUCAGUAACGGCGAGUGAAGCGGCAACAGCUCAAAUUUGAAAUCUGGCCUCUUUGGGGUCCGAGUUGUAAUUUGUAGAGGAUGUUUCGGGUACCGCCUCGGUUUAAAUUUCUUGGAACAGAAUGUCAAAGAGGGUGAGAGUCCCGUCUUGGACCGGCGGUAGGGCCCGUGUGAAACUCCUUCGACGAGUCGAGUUGUUUGGGAAUGCAGCUCAAAAUGGGUGGUAAAUUUCAUCUAAAGCUAAAUAUUGGCCAGAGACCGAUAGCGCACAAGUAGAGUGAUCGAAAGAUGAAAAGCACUUUGAAAAGAGAGUUAAACAGUAUGUGAAAUUGUUGAAAGGGAAGCGCUUACAACCAGACUUGAGCGCGGCGGUUCCCCCUUCCUUUUGGUUGGGUUACUCCGUCGUGUCCAGGCCAACAUCGGUUCUGGGGGUCGGUUAAAGACCUUGGGAAUGUACCUACCCUUCGGGCGUAGACUUAUAGCCCAGGGUGUCAUGCGGCCUCCCGGGACCGAGGAACGCGCUUCGGCUCGGAUGUUGGCGUAAUGGUUGUCAGCGACCCGUCUUGAAACACGGACCAAGGAGUCUAACAUCUAUGCGAGUGUUUGGGUGUCAAACCCGGAACGCGGAAUGAAAGUGAACGGAGGUGGGAAGCCUUGCGGCUGCACCAUCGACCGAUCCUGAUGUCUUCGGAUGGAUUUGAGUAAGAGCAUAGCUGUUGGGACCCGAAAGAUGGUGAACUAUGCCUGAAUAGGGUGAAGCCAGAGGAAACUCUGGUGGAGGCUCGCAGCGGUUCUGACGUGCAAAUCGAUCGUCAAAUUUGGGUAUAGGGGCGAAAGACUAAUCGAACCAU
rnacentral:rRNA from 1 species